rnacentral:rRNA from 1 species
AACGAACGCUGGCGGCAGGCUUAACACAUGCAAGUCGAACGCCCCGCAAGGGGAGUGGCAGACGGGUGAGUAACGCGUGGGAACCUACCCAGUUCUACGGAAUAACCCAGGGAAACUUGGACUAAUACCGUAUACGCCCUACGGGGGAAAGAUUUAUCGGAAUUGGAUGAGCCCGCGUUGGAUUAGCUAGUUGGUGGGGUAAUGGCCUACCAAGGCGACGAUCCAUAGCUGGUCUGAGAGGAUGAUCAGCCACACUGGGACUGAGACACGGCCCAGACUCCUACGGGAGGCAGCAGUGGGGAAUAUUGGACAAUGGGCGCAAGCCUGAUCCAGCCAUGCCGCGUGAGUGAUGAAGGCCUUAGGGUUGUAAAGCUCUUUCAGAGGGGACGAUAAUGACGGUACCCACAGAAGAAGCCCCGGCUAACUUCGUGCCAGCAGCCGCGGUAA